rnacentral:rRNA from 1 species
UGCUGCAUGGCUGUCGUCAGCUCGUGUCGUGAGAUGUUGGGUUUAAGUCCCGCAACGAGCGCAACCCUCGCCCUUAGUUGCCAGCAUUUAGUUGGGCACUCUAAGGGGACUGCCGGUGAUAAGCCGAGACGGAAGUGGGGAUGACGUCAAGUCCUCAUGGCCCUUACGGGCUGGGCUACACACGUGCUACAAUGGUGGUGACAGUGGGCAGCGAGCACGCGAGUGUGAGCUAAUCUCCAAAAGCCAUCUCAGUUCGGAUUGCACUCUGCAACUCGAGUGCAUGAAGUUGGAAUCGCUAGUAAUCGCGGAUCAGCAUGCCGGGGUGAAUACGUUCCCGGGCCUU